ACUCCCUCUAGGUCAACUCGGUCUCAAACGAGCACCUGGUGCGUUCGGCGGUGGUGGGCUUGGCUGUUCAUCACUUCCCGCACGCCACUCCACCGCGCGUGCCACCGUGCCGGCCUGCGUCGGGUGGUGCUCGCUCACGGCACUUGACCCACCGGAAUGUUGAGGCUAUACCGAUGGGGGGGGGGGGGGCUUUGCCUUUGCUUUGCAGCAUUAAAAUUGAACGUGAAAAUG